GCAACCUAAUCCGGGGAAGGCUGUGAUUCCAACAUGGCAUUUUCCUUCCAUCCUCCACAGCAUGUCUUUCUGAAUCUGUGUCUGCAAUGCCAGGGAAGAGCCAUCAGGCCUGUGCUCCCCAAAACAGAGCUGAAGAGUGGACCUCAGGAACCUGGUAAAGAUUUAGAAUGAGAGAAAAAAACUAUAGAACUAUGAAUUCAGACUGACUCUAGGGUAAAAAAAAUGAGUUUGUAUGGUAGAUUUGCACUGUGCAAAUUUAGCUAAGCAGGAGCUAUGUUUCCCAGGAUCCCUGUCUCUGCAUAAUUUCAGGUUAGCGUGGGCCACCAGAAACACACAUGAUGGGAUUUGGAAGGCUGAAGUUAAGCGUCAAUCACAUUCCUUUAAAGCACUGAAGAUCGGUGCAGGCAAAAGUGCAGAGCACAGGCACCACUGCAGCUCACCAAGUGAUUUCUGCUCUCUGGCUCACAUUAUUGACAUUGAGCAGAAGCCGGGCAUGCAGCUUCAUCAGCUCUCACCAGAUUUGCUUCCUUCAGUUUCUCCAGCUCCUGGGUCAGUUACAUGUUUAGCAACAUGAUGAAGCAAAGCAGUUUCUCUUGCAGGUCACUGGCAUCAUUGAAUUUGGAGGCUUCAAGACAGAGGCUGAAAAACAGUUUGCCUCUGUGAUUUCCAGCCUGUCCCCCUGAAUUCCAAUUUAUCAUUUCUCUCCAACAUUUCAUGUCUGUCUUUCCUUCUCGAUGUCCUGCUCUGCUAACUUCAGUCUCCAAUGCAAGACAUAGAAGCAACAGCCACACAUAAACUGUUUAGUCAGCUCCCAUAAUUGGGAAAAGUAAAAUAUUUGCAAUAAACAAUUGAUUCUACAUCACUUCCUGUGGUUCUGUUUCUCUGGGCAAACCCAACUUGAUACCAUCUGAAUAGUAGAAGUGAACCCACCAAUGUUCUUUGUGCUGGAAUUGACCUGGUUGUUAACCUAACUGGAUGAUUUGAUAGAGGCAAGAUAGAACAAUUGAGAUUUCUGACAAAGUUGUCAGGGAAAUAUAAUUGUAAAAUUGAAGAAUGGAACAGGAGCAGAUGGCAAUAAAUACCCAUGCUGAAGCAAUGAAAAUGACAGUUGGAAACCUUGAGAAUUCUGAAUUAAAUGUUUGGAGGAAGAUUGUCAAGAGAAAAAAGUUACAUGUAUAAAAUCUACAGUAGAAUUGGAAGAUGGAUCUAAUGAGAAUAACACUAAGGAAACACCAUCCUUCAAAAACUAAAAGCUCCUUGAUGAGACAAGAAAAUGAAGUGUCCCAGAAGAGGAAAUGCAGUAAGUGUUGGGGAUAAAAAGAAGGUUAGAAAGCGAACAAUUUCAGAAGGGAAGAAAUGACCUCUAAAAGGGAAGCUGGGAUGAUAGCAAAGGCAAUGUCAACGUCCUCACAAUUUCACUUAGAUUUUCCUGGCUACUC